GGGGAAGUGGCGGAAUGGUAGACGCACAGGACUUAAAAUCCUGUAUUGGAGACAAUGUGUGGGUUCGAGUCCCAUCUUCCCCA
rfam:Bulleidia extructa W1219 contig00009, whole genome shotgun sequence.